rnacentral:rRNA from 1 species
UGGGGAAUAUUGCGCAAUGGGCGGAAGCCUGACGCAGCGACGCCGCGUGGGGGAUGACGGCCUUCGGGUUGUAAACCUCUUUCGACCUUGACGAAGCCUUCGGGUGACGGUAGGGGUAGAAGAAGCACCGGCCAACUACGUGCCAGCAGCCGCGGUAACACGUAGGGUGCGAGCGUUGUCCGGAAUUAUUGGGCGUAAAGAGCUCGUAGGCGGUGUGUCGCGUCGGCCGUGAAAACCUGUGGCUUAACCAUGGGCUUGCGGUCGAUACGGGCAUCACUGGAGUUCGGCAGGGGAGACUGGAAUUCCUGGUGUAGCGGUGAAAUGCGCAGAUAUCAGGAGGAACACCGGUGGCGAAGGCGGGUCUCUGGGCCGAUACUGACGCUGAGGAGCGAAAGCGUGGGGAGCGAACAGG